GAUGAAGAACGUAGCGAAAUGCGAUACUUGGUGUGAAUUCCAGAAUCCCGUGAACCAUCGAGUUUUUGAACGCAAGUUGCGCCCGAAGCCGUUAGGCCGAGGGCACGCCUGCCUGGGUGUCACAAAUCGUUGCCCCAAUGCCAAUCGCCUCACUUUGUAGGUAUUUGCUUGGGGUGAAUGUUGGCCUCCCGUGAGCUUUGUCUCACGGUUGGUUGAAAAUCGAGUGCAUGGUGUCGGGUGUACCAUGAUGGAUGGUGGUUGAGUGAUGAUGCUCGAGACCAAUCAUGGGUAACUCCACCAGAAUUGGGCUCGGUGACCCACAUGCGUCCCUUGGAUGCUCCCUAAGGAGACCUCAGGUCAGGCGGGGCUACCCGCUGAGUUUAAGCAUAUCAAUAAGCGGAGGA
rnacentral:misc_RNA from 1 species